UAAUCGCGGAUCAGAAUGCCGCGGUGAAUACGUUCCCGGGUCUUGUACACACCGCCCGUCACACCAUGGGAGUCCGGAAAUGCCCGAAGUCUGUGACCUAACCGUAAGGAAGGAGCAGCCGAAGGCAGGUCGGAUGACUGGGGUGAAGUCGUAACAAGGUAGC
rnacentral:rRNA from 1 species